rnacentral:rRNA from 1 species
AGAUUGAACGCUGGCGGCAGGCCUAACACAUGCAAGUCGAGCGGUAGAGAGGUGCUUGCAUCUCUUGAGAGCGGCGGACGGGUGAGUAAUGCCUAGGAAUCUGCCUAGUGGUGGGGGAUAACGUUCGGAAACGGACGCUAAUACCGCAUACGUCCUACGGGAGAAAGGCGGGGGACCUUCGGGCCUCGCGCCAUUAGAUGAGCCUAGGUCGGAUUAGCUAGUUGGUGAGGUAAUGGCUCACCGAAGGCGACGAUCCGUAACUGGUCUGAGAGGAUGAUCAGUCACACUGGAACUGAGACACGGUCCAGACCUCCGUACGGGAGGCAGCAGGUGGGAAUAGUGGACAAGUGGGACGAAAGCCUAGACUCCAGCCAGUCGCCGUGU